rnacentral:lncRNA from 1 species
GUCGGAGGUCGGAGGUGGGGGAGGGAAUGGAUCGUAAGUCACCCAUAUAGUCUGCUUCAUUUGCAGCCCAGAGAGGCAGGGAUUCGAGGAUGGAGGGCUGUCUUUUGGGCUGUUAUUCUUGCAUCUACACUACCAUUUGGCUAGGGUCUUAAGUGACCCGAGGCACAUCCUACUUUACUAGCCGGGUAUGGGGUCCCAUGU